AUUGAACGCUGGCGGCAGGCUUAACACAUGCAAGUCGAACGAGUGGCGGACGGGUGAGUAAUGCAUGGGAAUCUGGCUUAUGGAGGGGGAUAACGACUGGAAACUGUCGCUAAUACCGCGUACCAUAGGAUGAGCCCAUAUGGGAUUAGGUAGUGGGUGGGGGAAUGGCCUACCAAGCCGACGAUCUCUAUCUGGUCUGAGAGGAUGACCGUCCAAACUGGGACUGGGACCUGGCCCGGACGCCUACGGGAGGCAGCAGUGGGGAAUAUUGCGCAAUGGGGGCAACCUGACGCAGCCAUGCCGCGUGAAUGAAGAAGGCCUUCGGGUUGUAAAGUUCUUUCGGUGACGAGGCGUUAAUCACAGAAGAAGCACCGGCUAACUCCGUGCCAGCAGCCGCGGUAAUUC
rnacentral:rRNA from 1 species